UCAUAUUUUCAUGUAAAAUUUGCAACAUAGCAAAUAUCACAAGUCUAUAUACAUCGUCAAUAAACCAAACAAUAACUGUCAUUUUUUUCACCAACCUACUAGUAUCCAUGGGGUUUCAUAGGGAUGUUCCUGCUACAUGCGAACCCUUUCUUUUAACAAUCUCAAUUACGGGCUGUCCCCAUACUCCGUUCGGUAUGAGCG
rnacentral:lncRNA from 1 species